UGGUGGAGUGAUUUGUCUGGUUAAUUCCGUUAACGAACGAGACCGCUGCCUGCUAAAUAGUCUGAGUAGUGAAUUUCACUGUUUGGGGCUUCUUAGAGGGACGUGCAUUUUAUUAGAUGCAGGAAGAUAGUGGCAAUAACA
rnacentral:rRNA from 1 species